AUGGUGAGGAUAUUUGCACUGACCCUCCCUUUUCUCAAAUGAUCAUGCAGGAAUCGAUCCCGCCAAACUUCAAACUCCCUCAGUUCGAAAGCCUUCCCCAUGCCCUCUCUCUUAUUCAACGCCAAUCUCCACUUAUUUUGUGUGACAAAAGCCCUCUCCCAGGUCUUUCCCACAUUCACAAAAGGUUUCCUCUCUUCUUUCUUACAUGGAAGGUGGUUUGGAUCAAAUCAAAAAGGAAUAAGUUUGGAUUUCGAAUUCUAUGAGAUAGAGUUUUAGAAAUCCAAAACUCUUUCAAUUUUGCACCGAAUUUAUCUAAAUUUUUUUUGGAAUUUUUAUGGAUUUU
rnacentral:lncRNA from 1 species